rnacentral:ncRNA from 2 species
UUCGCCGAGGGGCGUUGCAACCCGCCGCGUGGAUGCUUCCACCGGAAUCCGCAUUUCCUCAUGCGGAUUCCAGCAAAACGGGUCAGGCUCGGCACCUUCCUACCGCAACAGCGCCCGAUCACC